ACCCAUAUGUAUUUUCUUUCACAUAUGGGUGAAUGGCAUUCACCCAUAUGUGAUUAACUAUGGAUGAAUGGAAUUCACCCAUAUGUGAAAGAGAAUACAUAUGGGU
rnacentral:miRNA from 1 species